GUCGUAACAAGGUAGCCGUAUCGGAAGGUGCGGCUGGAUCACCUCCUUUCUAAGGGAUAUUUCGGAAGACUACACAUCGUUUGCCUUUGUUCAGUUUUGAGAGGUUUACUCUCAAACAAAUUUGUUCAUUGAAAACUGGAUAUCGAAGAAAGAAUCAAAACAAGUAACACACACCGAGUUGAAAUGUUAAAAGAGUUUUUUAAUAAGUUCAACGCUUAUUUUCUUGAGCAACCUUCUAUCGCUAGAAGAAGUACUCAAAACCGACCGUAAGGUCAAAGGUUAAGUGAAUAAGGGCGCACGGUGGAUGCCUUGGC
rnacentral:misc_RNA from 1 species